rnacentral:lncRNA from 1 species
GGGCAAGAAAAUAGGAGGAGGUUAAAGAAGUGGACAGAACACCAUGGAAGGAGGCUGAAGCUCAAGUGGGUGAGAUGACUGAUGAGAAUCCCCCAGUGGGGGAAAUUCUGCCAGACUUUUGAGAACAGGGUUUGCUAGUGUUCAGCUUUAUGAUUGCUGCAUAGUUGUCAUAGAUUGGGUUUCCUAGAUCUAGAUCUUGAGGUAAGACUUGAAGUGCAAGUAGUUUAUUUGAGGUGAAAGAAACGCCAGCAGGAGAAUAGGGAGAUCCUUAUCUUCUGCUUUUGGAUAUAUACCACAUCUUGAAGGAGACUGAACUGACUCCAGAGGGUGUCGUUCCCAGGCUGAUGUGUUGGCUGUGCCUUUGAGGACAUUCAGAUAUUUUCUCAAGUUGGCAAAUUCUCGAUUGUGCCAUGUAGGAGGUUUGAAGGCUGUGGGUCCGUUAUUGCCUUCUUUGUGACAAAAAAAUUUCUGAGACAGAGAUUCCCAUGUAGGAAAUUUAUUGAGAAGUGCCCUUAGGAUCAACACUUGUGGGAGCCGUGGGAUUAGGAAGGUGGAUGAGGUAAACAUCCAUGCAAUGGCAACCAAGUCCUCAGCCAAUUCUGCAGGGAAUUCACACUAGCAAGGUGCUUCAGAGUUGGUUCACACUGAGCAGUUGGGGAAUGCAGGCUGUCUCUGGGGAAGAGAGGAAAGGCCUCAGGCAGGCUUUUAAGAUUGAGGACAAGGCUCAGAGAGGGACUCAGCUGAAAGCUGUCAGCUGCUAACAGUCUCAGCAGCUGGGAGAAUGAAUGCCCCAGCCCUGAAAGGGGAAGGAAAAAGGUUAAUAAAACUACUCAGCUGCAAUCUCCUGCUAUCCUUCCGAAGAGGGCAGAAUGGCUAGGUGGAGCCAUGGGCUCAGAGUGUGGAACCUUGAGCUAUAGAGAGUGGAGACUCCAGUCACAGAGGAUUUUUCCCAGCCCUUGAAAAUUAAUGAAGUUUGCUUAGCUGGAUUUUGAAAUUGCUUGGGACAGGUUUGUGCUAAGAAAAUGCCUUCAACAAACAAAGUGGCUCCAGUGGGUUUCCAGUCCCUGGGGAGAGGGGAGAAAGAGAGAAAAGAAUCACUUUCUUAAGGGGAAAAGUACAGCAGCCAUGCCAUUCUGAGGAUUUACUACAGGAUUAAAUAAACUUCUCCACUUGAGGGGGACAUGUUUGUGCUGAAGGAAUAACAUAUUAUUACUUUUUUUGGAGAAGCAAGAAGACUUUUCCAGUGAUUCUCAAACUGUCACUGCCCGGGUUUCUAAUGAGGAGUUUGGUCCGGUCGUGAUCCCUCACCAGGCAUCUACUACAACAGACAAUGUGAAUCUGGUGGCAGACGAAGGGGUCUGGAUGAGUCGGAGUUACAGGAAGAAAUCAACCCCGUGUCUGAGUCAUCUUUAUCAUGGUCUAUGUGGCUAGAACCCCAGGGCAAUCUGAAUGGCAACUUGGGUUGGCUUGGCUGCUUACAGACAGAAGGUCAGAAUGGGAAAAAUGUUGGAGAGCUUGGUUGCUUUUGUAAAGUGGGUUUGAAAGUUUGUUGGUGUUUUAAACUAAUUUUCAAAAAAGCAGUAUGUGGUUGUGACUAAGACUAUAGAUUGAUAACCAGAUUGGUUGAGUUCGUAUCCAGAACCUACUGCUUACUAGCUUUUUAUUUCCUUUAUAGACAAACUUCUUAACCAUUCUGUGCCUCAGUUUCAUCAUCUUUAAAUUGGGGAUAAUAUUAUUACCUCAGUAGUUGUAAGGAUUGAAUGAGUAAUACAUUAAAGCGCUUUGACCAGUGCCCAGUAUAGUAAGCACUCAGUAAAUUCUCAGCCCCAUGAGGUCGGUGUAGGUGUGAGGGUUAAUUUUAUGUGUCACUUGACUGGCUAAGCGAUGCCCAGAUAGCUGGCAAACAUUAUUUCUGGACGUGUUUGAGAGGAUGUUUCUCAAAGAGAUUAGCAUUUGAAUCAGUUGACUGAGUAAGAAGAUGCCCUCACCAAUGCGGGUGGACAUCAUCCAGUCAUUGAGGGCCUGAGUAGAACAGAAAGGCAGAGGAAGGGAGAAUUCGCUCUCUGCUUAAGCUGGGACGUCCGUCUUCUCCUGCCCUCGGAUGCCAGCACUCUGGUUCUUGUGCCUUCAUACUGGGACUGGCACUGACUUCAUCGGCUCCUGGUUCUCAUGCCUGCACGUUUGGACUGGAACUGCACCACCGCCUUUCCUGGGCCUCCAGCUUGCAGUCUUCUCAGCCUCCAUGAUCGCAU